rnacentral:tRNA from 1 species
AUAAGUCAAGCUAAAGGUAAAGCUUUAGCUUUAAAAGCUAAAGUUAUUGGAAAGUAUUGAUAUGGUUUAUU